rnacentral:rRNA from 1 species
GACGAACGCUGGCGGCGUGCUUAACACAUGCAAGUCGAACGAUGAACCCGGAGCUUGCUCUGGGGGAUUAGUGGCGAACGGGUGAGUAACACGUGAGUAACCUGCCCUGGACUCUGGGAUAAGCGUUGGAAACGACGUCUAAUACCGGAUAGGACCUUGGAUCGCAUGAUCUGGGGUGGAAAGUUUUUUCGGUCUGGGAUGGACUCGCGGCCUAUCAGCUUGUUGGUGAGGUAAUGGCUCACCAAGGCGUCGACGGGUAGCCGGCCUGAGAGGGUGACCGGCCACACUGGGACUGAGACACGGCCCAGACUCCUACGGGAGGCAGCAGUGGGGAAUAUUGCACAAUGGGCGAAAGCCGGAUGCAGCAACGCCGCGUGCGGGAUGACGGCCGUCGGGUUGUAAACCGCUUUUAGUAGGGAAGAAGGGCUUCGGCUUGACGGUACCUGCAGAAAAAGGACCGGCUAACUACGUG